GAGGCCGAUGCGGGAGAGCUGCGGGGGAGAACCCGCCCGCGGCACCGAAGGAGCAAUCCUCCCCGACAAUCUCUCAGGUACGCGUACCGCAUCGGACUG
rnacentral:ncRNA from 23 species